GAUGAACGCUGGCGGCGCGCCUAACACAUGCAAGUCGAACGGUUAAAGCACCUUUUAGGUGUGUAUAAAGUGGCGAACGGCUGAGUAACACGUGGGCAACCUGCCCUCCUCUUGGGGAUAGCCUCGGGAAACCGAGGAUAAUACCCGAUACUUCAAUGUGGCCGCAUGACGACAUUGAGAAAGCUUUUGCGGAGAAGGAUGGGCCCGCGGCCUGUUAGCUUGUUGGUGGGGUAGAGGCCUACCAAGGCAAUGAUGGGUAGCUGGGUUGAGAGACCGACCAGCCAGAUUGGGACUGAGACACGGCCCGGACUCCUACGGGAGGCAGCAGUGGGGAAUCUUGCACAAUGGGCGAAAGCCUGAUGCAGCGACGCCGCGUGCGGGAAGAAGGCCUUCGGGUUGUAAACCGCUUUCAGCAGGGACGAGGCGAA
rnacentral:rRNA from 2 species